GACAGAGGGGGCAAGCGUUGCUCGGAAUUACUGGGCGUAAAGGGCGCGUAGGCGGGAUGGCAAGUCGGUCGUGAAAUCCCUCGGCUCAACCGAGGAACGUCGAUCGAUACUGCUGUUCUUGAGGAUUGCAGAGGAGACUGGAAUUCCCGGUGUAGCGGUGAAAUGUGUAGAGAUCGGGAGGAACACCGGUGGCGAAGGCGGGUCUCUGGGCAGUUGCUGACACUGAGGCGCGACAGCGUGGGGAGCAAACAGG
rnacentral:rRNA from 1 species